rnacentral:rRNA from 1 species
GACGAACGCUGGCGGCGUGCUUAACACAUGCAAGUCGAACGGUGAAGCGCCUUCCUUUUUGGUGGGUGUGGAUGAGUGGCGAACGGGUGAGUAACACGUGAGUAACCUGCCCCCUUCUUCUGGAUAACCGCAUGAAAGUGUGGCUAAUACGGGAUAUUCUGGGUCUGUCGCAUGAUGGGUCUGGGAAAGAUAUUGUUUCGGUGGGGGAUGGGCUCGCGGCCUAUCAGCUUGUUGGUGGGGCGAUGGCCUACCAAGGCGGUGACGGGUAGCCGGCCUGAGAGGGUGGACGGUCACACUGGGACUGAGACACGGCCCAGACUCCUACGGGAGGCAGCAGUGGGGAAUAUUGCACAAUGGGCGCAAGCCUGAUGCAGCGACGCCGCGUGAGGGAUGGAGGCCUUCGGGUUGUGAACCUCUUUCGCCAGUGAAGCAGGCCUGCCCCGUUUGUGGGUGGGUUGACGGUAGCUGGAUAAGAAGCGCCGGCUAACUACGUG